rfam:Streptomyces sp. MBRL 601 scaffold00228, whole genome shotgun sequence.
GCGUCCCGCCUCGUGAUCGUCUUCUCAACCUUCGCCGGGCGGGCGGAAUGAGGGGAGGCCCCCGUGAGGACGUGACUCGCGGGGGCCUUUC